UACGGAGGGUGCAAGCGUUGUUCGGAAUUACUGGGCGUAAAGGGCGCGUAGGCGGCUUUUCAAGUCGGGCGUGAAAUCUCCGGGCUUAACCCGGAAGGGUCGUUCGAUACUGUUGAGCUAGAGUGUGGAAGAGGCAACUAGAAUUCCGUGUGUAGCGGUGAAAUGCGUAGAUAUACGGAGGAAUACCUGAGGCGAAGGCGGGUUGCUGGGCCAACACUGACGCUGAAGUGCGAAAGCCAGGGGAGCAAACGGG
rnacentral:rRNA from 1 species